AGCAGCCGCGGUAAUUCCAGCUCCAAUAGCGUAUAUUAAAGUUGUUGCAGUUAAAAGCUCGUAGUUGAAUUUCGGGAUCAAUACGUCGGUCGUGCUUCGGUACGUACUGGCGUAAUUGAUUUCUCCCUUCUGACGAACCAUGAUGUCAUUAACUUGGUGUCAUGGGAAAUCAGGACUGUUAACUUUGAAAAAUUAGAGUGUUUAAAGCAGGCUCACGCUUGAAUACAUUAGCAUGGAAUAAUGAAAUAGGACGUUCGAUCCUAUUUUGUUGGUUUUUUAGGAUCAACGUAAUGAUUAAUAGGGAUAGUUGGGGCAUUAGUAUUCAAUUGUCAGAGGUUGAAAUUCUUGGGAUUUUUAUUGAAGACUGACUACUGCGUAAAGCA
rnacentral:rRNA from 1 species